GGGUGAUCAAAGCACUCAGACCAGUGAGACGACAUACCUCUCAUCAAUUUUUUCUUUCGAUACGCCUUUCGAGAACGGUUACUCUCGUUAUUGCGGUACAGUUUCUCUCCUUAAAUAUGUCGUCAUAAGAAAAGUUGGUGGAGAUUUUUCUCAAUGUGCAUUGCCAAUUCAACAAGCUGCCUCUGAUGUAUCGUGUUGGGAGGUGAAAAUGUGCAGAUAACAAGAAAUCUGGAAUGGAUUCCUUGGUAGAUAAAGUUUGAGCUGUUAGUGGUGAUGUCUGGUGUUGCAGUCAUUUUCUGAUUGAGAGAUGCAUUGAAACGUUAACCGCAUUGAAAUGGAGCUUCUGCAGACUUGCUGUUCAACAUCAUACUUGAAUUCACCACGUUGGUGUCCAUGCCUUGUUGAGCUGUCGUGUGAAAAAUAAUCGGAAUCGCCUGAUGGUAUCUUGUAGGUGUGUUCUUUUGCUACCUGUACCCAUGUUGAGUUUAACCAUACGUCGCCGUUCCAGAUUUGAUCCAUUGGUGAAGCUAAGGAAAAGUUGCUGUAAUUCAAGACUGAAAUUAUUUAGAUUUAGACAAAUUAAAAAUGUAAAUCUAUUGUUCCUUUUUCCCUUAGUAAACAAAAUGUCCUCUGUUGACUAGUUGUGUGGAAAACAGGAAUAUAAUGAUGGAAUGGCGAAUUGCAAUGAGAUUUUCCAUUACCUGUGAGAAAGUUAUACCAUGAAAAUAUUGUUCCUUUAACA